rnacentral:misc_RNA from 1 species
ACGUGAUGGAGAGAUUAUUUUACGCUAUAUCUCUUAUGCUUUACUUGCAGGAGAUGCUUCUGUAUUAGAAGAUCGCUGCCUAAAUGGUUUAAAAGAAACUUAUAUUGCUCUUGGCGUACCUAAUAAUUCUUCUGCUAGAUCUGUUGCUAUAAUGAAAUCUGCAGCUGUUGCAUUUGUUAGUAAUUCAGCAUCUCAACGUACAAUGCCUACAACUAGUGGUGAUUGUUCUGCAUUAUC